rnacentral:rRNA from 1 species
UGUAUGGUGAUGAGCACUAUGAUCACUAUGGUGAUGGGGAAUAUGAUGACUAUGGAGAUGAGGAUGACUAUGGCUAUGGCUAUGGCGGUGGCGAUGGCGAUGAUGAUGAUUGGCUAUAAAAUCUAAUGAUCUUCAAGUCAUGUCAAAAUGUAGUUGUGUUAGAUAUUUGAAACACUUUAUUAUCUUAUGGACAAAUUUGUCUUAGUGGACAAUUUAUCUUAUGCAAAAUGUGGCCUAUCUCAGUUACUAUUUUGUUCUGCAUUCGACAUUUGAUAAUUAUGGUUAAGGCAAUUUGGAUGCAACUCAAUACCUUGUGCUUGUGUAUAAGAUGGAAUGAAACACCCCUUGGUGAAAGAAAUAUACGAG